CGUAGGGGGCGAGCGUUGUCCGAAUUUACUGGGCGUAAAGCGCGCGUAGGCGGUUUCUUAAGUCUGGGGUGAAAGGUUCAACGCUCAACGUGAACAGUGCCUUGGAUACUGGGAGACUUGAGUCUGGGAGGGGGUAGUGGAAUUCCUGGUGUAGCGGUGAAAUGCGUAGAUAUCAGGAGGAACACCGGUGGCGAAGGCGGCUACCUGGCCUAAGACUGACGCUGAGGUGCGAAAGCGUGGGGAGCGAACGGGAUUAGAUACCCCGGUAGUCCACGCCGUAAACGAUGAGUGCUAGGUGUAGGGGGUAUCGACCCCCCCUGUGCCGUCGCUAACGCAUUAAGCACUCCGCCUGGGGAGUACGGCCGCAAGGUUG
rnacentral:rRNA from 1 species